rnacentral:tRNA from 3 species
GGGGCCGUAGCUCAGUUGGGAGAGCACCGCCUUUGCAAGGCGGGGGUCAGGAGUUCGAGCCUCCUCGGCUCCACCA